rnacentral:rRNA from 1 species
AUGACAAGUCAAUCUUGGGUGGCUGACAAGGCAGCAACUAUGCUUAAGAAAGAUCCAACCAUUGGUGCUGUGAAGAUACUUAAAGAGUUACAGGAAGAGCAUCAUGUCACACUUGACUAUAACACAGUGUGGAAAGGCAAACAAAAGGCAGCAACCAGCUUGUAUGGGAGUUGGGAAGAAAGUUUCAGGAUGUUGUACAACUACAAGGCCGAGAUAGAAUUGAGGUCUCCAGGGAGUAUUGUAGAGAUUGAUACAACCACAAGUGAAGGUGAAGUACAUUUCAGCAAGCUAUUUAUUUCUUUCAAGCCAUGCAUAGAUGGGUUUCUGAAUGGAUGUAGGCCAUAUAUCAGCAUAGACUCAACUCACUUAAAUGGCAAGUGGAAAGGUCAGCUAGCUGUAGUCACUGCUUUGGACGGUCACAAUUGGAUGUUCCCGGUGGCGUAUGGCUUUAUUGAGUCUGAAAAUGGAGAAAAUUGGGCUUGGUUCAUGAAUCAAGUGAAGAAGGCAAUAGGGGACCCUCCAGUACUGGCUGUUUGUACGGAUGCUUGCAAGGGUCUUGAAAAUGCUGUUAAAAAGGUUUUCCCUCAAGCUGAGCAGCGUGAGUGCUUUAGGCAUAUGUGGCAUAAUUUUCAGAAAUAUUUUCAUGGUGAUGUGUUUGGACAGUUGUGGCCUGCUGCUAGGGCAUAUAGGGCGGAAGAAUAUCAACAUCACAUGACAAAGGUGUUUGAGGCAUCUGAGAAAGCGUAUCCUUACCUUAGGGAUUACCAUAAUCUGUUAUGGAUGAGGUGCAUGUUCAAUCCUGACAUCAAGUGUGACUACAUAAAUAACAAUCUUGCUGAGUGCUUUAAUUCUUGGGUGCGAGAAAUCAAGGACUUGCCGAUUGUUCAGCUAGCUGAUAAGAUUAGAGAGAUGAUUAUGGACCUAUUUAGAAAGAGGAGAAUGAUUGGAGAGAAAUUGGUAGGGAAAAUACUGCCAUUUGUCAUACACCAAUUAAAUGCAAAGACUCGAGGACUAGGACAUCUCAAGGCUAAAGCAUCAGCUGAUUGGAGUGGAGAAGUGAAAAAUGAUAACAAAGGGGAUGAAAGACAUGUCGUCAAAACACUCACACAUGAGUGUACAUGUCUGCAAUGGCAGCACACAGGCAAGCCUUGUGACCAUGCACUAGCCUUCAUAAAUGUUUUGCAAGCUCGCAACUUUGUGAACAUGGAGGAUUAUGUGCACGAGUACUACUCAGUUAGCAGAUUCAGGGUAGCAUAUGAAGGUGUAAUUGAGCCCCUUACGGACAAGAAUCAGUGGCCACAUGUUGAUACAGGCUUUGUGUUGCGUCCACCAAUUCCAAAAGGCAAGAAAAAAGGUGCUGGAAGAACAAGAAAACAGAGGAUGAAGAGUUGGUGGGAAGGUGGAUCAAGGAAGGGAUCAUUGAACAAAUGCAACAAAUGCGGGGACGUAGGACAUAGAGAAGCCGGCUGUCCUCAAAAUGGAACAAAGAAACGGAAAAGUAUGGGGAAAAAGAAUCCAUCUCCAUGGUUUGAUGUCUCAGUUAGCAAUGUGAUUCCAUCUACACCAAUCAAGAGCAAGAAUGUCGCCACUUGUAGCAGUCCUGGAGCUGUGACAAGAAGCCAAGCGGCAUCUCAAGCUAGUCCUGGAGCUGUCACAAGGAGCCAAGCAACAUCUGAAGCUGCUACUCCACCACCAAAGUCUCCAGCAAAAGGAAAGAAGAAGAAAAUGACUCCAAAGAGGAAGAAAUUAAGCGAUCUGUGA